AUCCCAUUCUGGCAGAACUAGAUAAAAUAGAUUAACAAAGAAAAUGCACUGAAAAGCAGAGGGUCUAGCUAUCUCAGUUCAACCAGGAUUUAACAAGUGAUACCUUUUCACAUGACCUCACACACAGGCCAAGCAUAUUGCUUCUGAUUCCUGAUUAUGCAGGAAGGUCAGGGAUCUAUUCAGACUGAAAUGUAAAUGAAGGCAUCAAAUUCAAUAGGCUUUCUAUAUCACGUAGAUCAUUUCUGCUGACAGAUUUCACUUUCCCUAUGGUUUCCUGUUACAUAAAUCAGAAUUUCAAAUCUUGCAGGAACAAUAUAUCCGUAGUAUACAUACAUUCAUAUACACGUUUUGAAGAUAUUUAUAUACACAGUUGCUCAUAGUGAUGAUACUUUCUUGGCUGACCGGGAAUAUCUAGCAUUCCUGCUAAUGUUUAUGAGAGUACUAGAAGACCAGGAACCUGAGUUGGGACACAGGAGUAACAAUGACACCAAGUGGAAGCCUGGAGUAUUUCAUCUUAAUUUGGAC